AACGAACGAUGGCGGCAUGCCUAACACAUGCAAGUCGAACGAGACCUUCGGGUCUAGUGGCGCACGGGUGCGUAACGCGUGGGAACCUGCCCUUAGGUUCGGAAUAACUCCCCGAAAGGGGUGCUAAUACCGGAUGAUGUCUUCGGACCAAAGAUUUAUCGCCUUUGGAUGGGCCCGCGUUGGAUUAGCUAGUUGGUAGGGUAAAAGCCUACCAAGGCGACGAUCCAUAGCUGGUCUGAGAGGAUGAUCAGCCACACUGGGACUGAGACACGGCCCAGACUCCUACGGGAGGCAGCAGUGGGGAAUAUUGGACAAUGGGCGAAAGCCUGAUCCAGCAAUGCCGCGUGAGUGAUGAAGGCCUUAGGGUUGUAAAGCUCUUUUACCCGGGAUGAUAAUGACAGUACCGGGAGAAUAAGCUCCGGCUAACUCCGUG
rnacentral:rRNA from 1 species